CACUGAAGAUUUCGUUAAAGGCAAAGGCAUUUCAUAUACCAGUCUGUAGAAACAUCUAAGAAUUUCACAGAAAGCGUCUGUGAAACAUUUUUUUGCAUUGAGCAUACACGUUCGUAUUGAAACUAAGCAAUUAACGAUGUCUUGGGUCAAAAAAGGGACAUUAUUGCUACAAGAUACAAAAUCUUUAGUAUCACCGCAUAAAAACGAACAUUUGAAGCUGUCAUCGCCGGAAUCAUUUACCAAAUACUGCACUAAUUCGUCAAGCCAAGUCUUCUGAAAAGCACAUUCACACUCUAAAACCAGCU